CCUACGGGGGGCAGCAGUGAGGAAUAUUGGUCAAUGGACGAGAGUCUGAACCAGCCAAGUAGCGUGAAGGAUGACUGCCCUAUGGGUUGUAAACUUCUUUUAUAUGGGAAUAAAAUGUUCCACGUGUGGGAUUUUGUAUGUACCAUAUGAAUAAGGAUCGGCUAACUCCGUGCCAGCAGCCGCGGUAAUACGGAGGAUCCGAGCGUUAUCCGGAUUUAUUGGGUUUAAAGGGAGCGUAGGUGGAUUGUUAAGUCAGUUGUGAAAGUUUGCGGCUCAACCGUAAAAUUGCAGUUGAAACUGGCAGUCUUGAGUACAGUAGAGGUGGGCGGAAUUCGUGGUGUAGCGGUGAAAUGCUUAGAUAUCACGAAGAACUCCGAUUGCGAAGGCAGUUCACUGGACUGCAACUGACACUGAGGCUCGAAAGUGUGGGUAUCAAACAGAAUUAGAUACCCGAGUAGUC
rnacentral:rRNA from 1 species